UACGUAGGGUGCAAGCGUUGUCCGGAAUUAUUGGGCGUAAAGAGCUCGUAGGCGGUUUGUCGCGUCGAAUGUGAAAACCCGAGGCUCAACCUCGGGCCUGCAGUGGGUACGGGCAGACUAGAGUGCGGUAGGGGAGAUUGGAAUUCCUGGGUGUAGCGGUGGAAUGCGCAGAUAUCAGGAGGAACACCAAUGGCGAAGGCAGAUCUCUGGGCCGUAACUGACGCUGAGGAGCGAAAGCAUGGGGAGCGAACAGG
rnacentral:rRNA from 1 species